rnacentral:pre_miRNA from 1 species
AAAGUACUCCCUCCGUCACAAAAUUCUUGUCUUAGAUUUGUCUAGAUACGGAUGUAUCAAGUCACAUUUUAGUAUUAGAUACAUCUGUAUCUAGACAAAUCUAAGACAAGAAAUUUGGGACAGAGGGAGUAGUUG